GACGAACGCUGGCGGCGUGCCUAAUACAUGCAAGUAGAACGCUGAAGGAGGAGCUUGCUUCUCUGGAUGAGUUGCGAACGGGUGAGUAACGCGUAGGUAACCUGCCUGGUAGCGGGGGAUAACUAUUGGAAACGAUAGCUAAUACCGCAUAAUAGUAGAUGUUGCAUGACAUUUGCUUAAAAGGUGCAAUUGCAUCACUACCAGAUGGACCUGCGUUGUAUUAGCUAGUGGGUGGGGUAACGGCUCACCAAGGCGACGAUACAUAGCCGACCUGAGAGGGUGAUCGGCCACACUGGGACUGAGACACGGCCCAGACUCCUACGGGAGGCAGCAGUAGGGAAUCUUCGGCAAUGGACGGAAGUCUGACCGAGCAACGCCGCGUGAGUGAAGAAGGUUUUCGGAUCGUAAAGCUCUGUUGUAAGAGAAGAACGAGUGUGAGAGUGGAAAGUUCACACUGUGACGGUAUCUUACCAGAAAGGGACGGCUAACUACGUG
rnacentral:rRNA from 1 species